AAGGAAAUGAGGAUAAAUCUUUCCCCAUAUGAUCGACUUUGAUUCGAACUGUGCUAUUUCUUUUAUCUCCCUUUUUUAAGGGACUGAAAAAGCCAGUUUUCUGAUCCUU